rnacentral:rRNA from 1 species
GACGAACGCUGGCGGCGUGCUUAACACAUGCAAGUCGAACGGGCUCUGUCUGGCUGUGUGCUGGGUGGGGUUAGUGGCGAACGGGUGAGUAAUACGUGAGUAACCUGCCCUCUUCUUUGGGUUAAGCCUUGGAAACGGGUUCUAAUACUGGAUAUUCCUGUCUGGUCGCAUGGCUGGGUGGGGAAAGUUUUUUUCGGUGGUGGAUGGGCUCGCGGCCUAUCAGCUUGUUGGUGGGGUGAUGGCCUACCAAGGCGUGGACGGGUAGCCGGCCUGAGAGGGUGAAAGGCGACAAUGGGACUGAGAUACGGACAAGACACAUACGGGAGGCAGCAGUGGGGGAUAUUGAACAAUGGGCGCAAGACUGAUGGAGCGACGCCGCGUGGGGGAUGACGGGUUUCGGGUUGUAAACCUCUUUCGGGGGGGGACAAGGCUAUGCUAGGUGGUGGGGUUGAGGGUACCCGGUGAAGAAGCGCCGGCUAACUACGUG